rnacentral:snRNA from 1 species
UGAUGAGACGAGAUUGGU